rnacentral:lncRNA from 1 species
UUUAUAAGUUACUAACUAAAUACAAUGAAUAGCCUUUCUAUUUAUAACAUUGUUGAAUUUUUUAUAUUGAGUUAGGCAACAGAAAUUUGUUGGUAGCUUUCAUUAAUUAAUUAUUGUAUAUGUGUAGUGUAGUUUAGGUAGAUGGUUUCAUAUGAAGCAAAGCAUUGCCAUGUGUUAUUGACAUCUCACCAAAGAAUAAGAAUGACAUUGUUGGUUGUAUUGCAGGCUUGAAGCAAAUGAAAAAAGAGUAGGUGUGUUAUGGGUGUCAAAAGUAAAAUUUGUUUUCAAUUUUCAUCGAUCCAUAUUUGUUUAAAUGGUCCACCUUGUAUCUUGUCACUUAGUACUUUUUAUGUAACACUAAUGUAAUUAGGAUAUUUCUUUUUGAGUGUCACUAUCAUUUGGUCUAAGAAAAUAUCAAACUUUUUUAUGGACUUAUUAGAGGUGGGAAUAGACGAGACAUAUUAUUGACACAAGUUGCAAUUUAGUUAACAAGAAAACUUAAUUUAAUAUAUACAUACUUUUUAUAGGUUUAGAAGAUGACCCUUUUAAAUAAGUAUGAAUAUUAUUUUUAUGUUAUUAUUAGUUUAUAUUUUAAAAAGUAUAUUAGUAUUUUAAAUUUUGUAUUUUUAAUUAAACUAUAAAUUUGUUUAAAAUUUUUGUUGAAAGAGUUGAACAAACUUAGAUCAAAUAAUCGAAAAGAAUUGGAAUUGUGAA